UGAAGAAUGUUUAAAAUUGCUCCAUGGUAACUCGGCUGAUCUGGAACUGGAGAGAUGGUUAUAGAUGGAAACUCACUGCAAAGCCAUUUCAAACGCACAGAAAGCUCAGGCCAAAAAAGAACUGAAACAGAAUAGCACUGGAAGUGCAGCCAAGUGGAUUGAAGAGAAGUCAAAUGUGUACAUUUGCAGUGAAACCUUCUCCUGGAGUAAGGAAGCCCAAGGGAGAUCUUGCAUUUGAACUCUGUCAAAUUGAAGAACCUGGAGAAAAGCAGCCAGAAGAUUUCAAAGCUGCUUUUUGUGCUCACUGCCACAAGCCUGUCAGACUUGCAGCUGUGUCCUGAAUUUGUGUGCAAGACCCUGAAGGCUGCAGGUUUCUCCUGGGAAUCAGGCCACCAGAUGUGGGUACAUGAUGGACUGUAAAGGCACCACAUACUACUGAUCUAAUCUGUCUGAGGGUGAUGGAUACUGACAAGAACUUCUGAUUUUAAUCAGUAACUAUAUUAGUAAAUUUGAUGAAUUUGUCAUUUGUUUAUUCAUGGGUUUCCCGAAUGAAAAUCAGAAUCAGAAUCAGUUUUAUUAUCACUGACUUGUGUCGUGAAAUUUAUUAACUUAGCAGCAGCAGUACAAUACAAUACAAAAAUAAUGCAAUACAAAAAAAAGAAAAUAACUAAGUAAAUCAAUUACAGUAAGUAUAUUGAAUAAAUUAAAAUAGCGCGAAGACAGAAAUAAUAUACAUUAAAAAAAAGUAGUGUUCAUCGGUUCAAUGGAAUUGGAUGGCAGGGGGAAGAAGCUGUUCCGGAAUCACUGAAUGUGUGCUUUCAGACUUCUGUACCUCUUGCCUGAUGGCAACAAAGAGAAGAGGGCAUGUCCUAGGUGAUUGGGGUUCUUAAUAAUGGACAUCACUUUUCUGAAGCACCACUUAUCCAGUUACCUUUCCUAAUAUUGAAAUCUAUUUACUUCUAUUGACUUCAAUCCUCUUAGAAUAACUGUUUGCUAUUCCUUUCUUUUCUGAUUUAAACUGUCUUGUUAUUUACUCUGUGAAUACUGAGAACUUAAAAAUCUCAUCUUCUGAUGUUUGUCUAACUUUAUCGGAAUUUUGAGGUUAAGCAAGGACCAGCAACCUUCAAUGCUCAAAUUUAGGAAAUGCACAGUAUCGCCUAACAAGAAAAAAGUAUUGGCCUUGAAAUUAUGCUCUGAGAUAACAGAAUGCAAAUGUUUUACACUCUCUGCUGUAGGUGUUACCUACUUGUUUUUAACCAGUUAAUAUAUACCCUGAAAUAUCAGAGAGAGAAAUGUUACACCAGUGUGCAGAACUCUGGCUUGCCAAUAAUCUAUUCAUGAGCAUUGUGUCAAUAUUUUAAUACAAGCCAUCAAAUUCUACAUUUCUAGAGCUUUUAAUGUGAUUGACCAGAUAUUUUCUCUGCUAAUAUUGUUUAAACAAAACUGUAAAAGAAAAUA